rnacentral:pre_miRNA from 1 species
CAACUACUCCCUCUGUCCCAAAUUUCUUGUCUUAGAUUUGUCUAGAUACAGAUGUAUCUAAUACUAAAAUGUGACUUGAUACAUCCGUAUCUAGGCAAAUCUAAGACAAGAAUUUUGGGACGGAGAGAGUACUUU